rnacentral:rRNA from 1 species
UACGAAGGGGGCUAGCGUUGUUCGGAUUUACUGGGCGUAAAGCGCACGUAGGCGGAUCAUUAAGUCGGGGGUGAAAUCCCGGAGCUCAACUCCGGAACUGCCUUCGAUACUGGUGAUCUCGAGUCCGGAAGAGGUGAGUGGAACUCCUAGUGUAGAGGUGGAAUUCGUAGAUAUUAGGAAGAACACCAGUGGCGAAGGCGGCUCACUGGUCCGGUACUGACGCUGAGGUGCGAAAGCGUGGGGAGCAAACAGG